rnacentral:lncRNA from 1 species
UUAUCGUGGAGAUGGAUAUUGUCCGAAACUUCGUUCCAUCUCUUUCGUUGUACCACAAUUCUGACCGCUAAGGCACGUCCAUUAGUAGACAUCGAUGAAUGACACCAUGUCCAGCAUAGACAAGAGGUCUGUGAGAGAGGUUUACCAUUAUGUAUGGGUUUAGCAUUUUGUAGAUCUAUUAUCUAUGAUGUCGAUCUUAUCAUGUACAAGCGACGCCAUGUCGCCAAUAAUAAGAUUUCGCAAUUUUACAUGCUUUCGGUGCUUGUUUUCAUUGUUGUUUUUCGUGUUUCAAUUGUUUAGUGUAUUAAUAGUGUGGUUUAGUUUUUCUUCUCCAUAUUUUCAGAUUGACGAUAAAUAUGAGUGGAAAACGUUCGUUGUGUUGCGACUGAAAAAGUAUCUUUUCACUAUGGAAAAUGUUGUAGUUAAUUAAAAGCAUUGGUUGUAUGAGUCCUCAUUCUCUUGAGAAAGUAGCUGUACCUAUGACACUAAAGAAAGUAUGAAUUAAGAGCAAAGGCAGUGUGCUGUUGCUAAGGAUUUAUAACAGUGAACUGAUUGUUCAACAAAUGAGAGGGAAUUACAGUUAAUUUUGAUGCUUCUGACACAACUGUUGCUUUUGACGUCUUAAUUUUGUACUUGCAAGGGGGGGCAAAAGGAAGUUAAAACCACUGGAACAACAUUACCAGCAAUGGUAUCACUUCUGGAUUUGGCUUGCUCAUUUCACUUGUAGACUUUAGAACACUACUUUCUACAGUUACUUAAGAUCGUCUAACAAAUGAGAAGGAAUUAAAGUUCAUUUUGGUUGUACUAAAACAACCAAUGUCUGGAUGGGUGUGGUCUUUCAUGGAUCAUAUUGUUGAUUUGCACUUUUCUUCUUCGCCUUGCAACAUUAUGCAGUUACUUUUCAACCGAUGAGCGAGAUCAACUGAAGUUUAUUUGAAUUCCACUGGAAAUAACAAAUUUUCUGCAUUGGUAUUUCUCUUGGAUUUAGUUUGCUUUUCACACCA